ensembl:misc_RNA Metazoa_SRP Metazoan signal recognition particle RNA
GCUGGGAGCAGUGGUGUGUGCCUGUAGUCCCAGUUACUCGGGAGGCUGAGACAAGAGGAUUGCUUGAGCCCAGGAGGUUGAGGCUGCAGUGAGCUGUGAUGGCAGCACUGCACUCAGCCUGGGCAACAGAGUGAGACCUUGUAUCAA